rnacentral:rRNA from 1 species
UACAGAGGUCCCAAGCGUUGUUCGGAUUCAUUGGGCGUAAAGGGUGCGUAGGCGGCGCGGUAAGUCGGGUGUGAAAUCUCGGGGCUUAACUCCGAAACUGCAUUCGAUACUGCCGUGCUUGAGGACUGGAGAGGAGACUGGAAUUUACGGUGUAGCGGUGAAAUGCGUAGAUAUCGUAAGGAAGACCAGUGGCGAAGGCGGGUCUCUGGACAGUUCCUGACGCUGAGGCACGAAGGCCAGGGGAACAAACGGG